UCGUGAGGUCACUUGUCAGGUUAAUUCCGAUAACGAGCGAGACCAGAACCUUUAUUUGGUUGCCCUCACCUUGGUGGGUGGUGACCUCAUAGAGGGACUACGGGCGUUAGCUCGGGGAAGUUUCUGGCAAUAACA
rnacentral:rRNA from 1 species